GGAAAGUAAAUGAUCUUAUUUAGUGAAUAAUACUUUAAAUGUGAAUAAAUCAGUUAUUGCUGAUUGUCCCCACAGCAAAUUCCAUGGAGACAUCUGGAUUUGUCCAGGACAAACUAACUGAAUGGGGAUUCAGUGAGUUCAUGCAGAGAUUUAAAGAUGAAGGCAUUGACAAGGAGACGUUUCUAAACCUUGGAGAUUCAAUCCGAAUUAAUUUACUGUUUCCUAAAAUUGGACCAAGAGUAAAGUUUAGAAAGAGACUCAAAGAUUACUUACAGAUGGAGAUAUGUCAUUUUGUCCAGGAAAAAUUAACUGAAUGGCAUCUCAGUGAGCUGAUUCACAGAUUUGAAGAGGAGGGUAUUGACAAAGAAGCUUUCCUAAGUCUCGAGUCAGGCAGAAUCAAUACUUUGAUUCCAAAAAUUGGACCAAGAGUAAAGUUUAAAAGGAGACUCAGAGAAUACUUACAGGACUUGAAUAGAACACAUGAUGAUUCUGCUGACAUGAUGGAAACAAGCGCAGAGCAAGAGGACAGUCCAGAAAUGGUAUGAUCUCAUUGUGCCUGAACAUGGUUCAUUAUUGAGUGAUUAAUCUUUGAUCAUUUUUGUUAUUAAUGUCAUCAUGUUAUUAUAGAAAAAUUAAUGUUGUCAGCGUUAAUCUCCUUAAGUAAAGUAAGUAAGUAAAAUUUUAUUUAAAUAGUACCUUUCAAGAUAAAAUCACAAAGUGCUUCACACAAGCAGAAAUGGACAUACAACCUCAAACAAACAAAAGCAACCAAAAGCAAGUUUAAACAGAUACAUUUUUAACUGCUUUUUAAAUGAAAUGACUGAGUCCACAGAUCUCGAACUCAAAGGGAGCGAGUUCCAGAGUCUGGGAGCCAUUGACACAAACGGUCUGUCAUUGUUUGUUUUUAACCUUGUAUGCUGGAAAACCAGCAAGCGCUGGUCACAAGACCUCAGGGACCUGCUGGGGCGAUAAGGCAGAAGGAGAUCACUGAUGUAAGUUGGAGCUACACCGUGCAGGGCCCUAUAGGUCAUGAUUAUAAUCUUAAAAUGAACCCUGAACUUGACAGGAUGUCAGACUUGACGUCCUGACACCAUAGCCGCAUUAACGCAGCAAAUCUACGUUAGCUGGUUACCGUGGAUCUCCCCAUGGGUGAGCUGGACGCCACUAAACAAUAACAAGCUUGUGCCAUAUUGUUAAAAUGACAUUAUGGCGUUAAUGUCAUUUUAAAGAGAUUAAUGUUGACAGCACUAAUCAAAAAUACAUUUUGAUGGAUUCAAGGACUCAUAUCUUUAGAGUAAAACAGGUGUCAAUAUGAGCAAAGUGAACCAGGUUAGCUGUUUACCUAAGUCCUCUGCAGAAUUCUCCAACACAGCUCAACUGUUUUUCACAAACUGUGAGUAAACAACAUGAAGGCCUGUGCCUUGUCUGGAUAAUUAUUUGGUAUUUGUUUUCACGCAGGAGCCAAACAUUUUUCCUCAACAUUUGGAAUCUUCUUCAGCGUCUGACACAACAGAUGGCAAAGACAGGAUGCAGGACCACAACAUUUAUCCAUUUCAGUUGGAGUCUGCUUCAGCAGUUGACAGAGGCAGUGACACAAGUAAUGAACCAAUUUGCUCCUGGGCAACAGUGACACAAGGACAAAGUCCAACCACAUUUACAAUGUUUUACUGUCAAGAGUGUAAAAACUUCAUGGGAAACGAUCCUGAUUCUUGUUGUUCUCACUGUGCCUCUGUGUUCAACAAAGCAAGCAGCAUUCAAAAUGGAAACUUCUUUCUGUACUCAUCCCUGAAAGACCUUCUGAAAGGUAUCCUUGAGAACCACAGCGCUGAGUUGUUACCUAAAACAGUUAAAGAUGAGCAUGAUAACAUCAAAGAUGUGAUGGAUGGGAUGAUGUACCAGAAUCUCCUCAGAGAGGGUAAACUAGCUGCAGAUGAUCUCACACUGACAUGGAAUUUUGAUGAAGUACCAAUUUUUAGCACCACCAGAUACUCAAUUUGGCCCCUUCAGUUUGUUAUUAAUGAACUUCCUUACACACAAAGACAGGAAAAUAUGAUAGUUGCUGGAUUUUGGUUUGGCCAAGGAAAACCUCAUAUGAACACAUUUCUGAAACCAUUUGUGGAUGAAUGUUGUGAUUUAGCCCAAAAUCCAUUUCAGUGGAGAGACAGCAGAGGCACUCUUCAUUCAUCAAAAGUCUUCUGCUUGGUUUGCUCCUCUGACGCUGUGGCGAGGCCACUUCUCCGGAAUUGCAAACAAUUCAAUGGAGAAUAUGGUUGUGACUGGUGUUUACACCCUGGCACAGUGGUACCAAAAGGCUCUGGCUCUAUGAGGUCAUACCGAUAUGAUGAAACUAAACAAGCAUCAAGAUCAAAAAAUAUGUUUGUUGAAAACACCUCAGAGUAUGGUGUAAAAGGAAUGUCCUUACUUUCCAGACUUCCUUUGUUUGACAUUGUGUUUGGAUUUGUACCAGAAUAUAUGCACUCAGUUUUAGUUGGUGUGACUAAGCAACUUAUUGGAUUGUGGCUGAACUCAGAGAACUCCAAGAAAGACUGGUAUGUAGGUCAACAGAUUUCACAGAUGGACUCUUAUCUCUUAAAGCCUCCAUCAGAAAUGAGCAGAUCUCUACAGUCACUGAAGGGUCGGGACUCUUGGAAAGCAUCUGACUGGCGAGCUUUCCUUUUAUUUUAUGCUGUUAGUGUCCUACCAGGCAUCCUUCAGCCUUCAUUUCUCCAGCAUUUUUUUUGUUUGUCGAUCAGCAUUCACAUUCUGCUACAAGAAUCAGUCUCCCAAAAUGACCUUCAGCUGGCCCAUGAGAACUUGGUACUCUUUGUUAGAAACAUGGAAGAACUCUAUGGUGAAGAAAACGUUUCAUUCAACUGCCAUCAGUUGAUCCACUUAGCUGACUGUGUGCGUAACUGGGGGCCUCUCUGGGCAACAUCAGCAUUCAGUUUUGAGAGGAACAGUGCAAAUUUAAGGGCACUGCUUAGCAACAUAAACUACAAUCCUCAAAAAAUUCAAGACAAGUUUCUCCGUUGGCAGCGCCUGCCGAGUCACCUUCGCUCCCUUGUUUCUAACGGAAAUUCUCCGUUAGCCAGAAUUUCACCAGUAAAUGAAACCACUGAUUGUUACGAUCUGCUUGGAAAUUCACGGCAUCUGGAUAUCACAGGAUCCAUAAAACUAGCAAUAGAAGAGCUCUUAAAUCGACCUGUUUCAUUCAGAUCAGUGGAAGCCUUUGACAGCUUCAUCAACAGAAAUACUGUUUACUCUGUAAACCAUGAAGAGACAAGAGACUGUGUCAUAAAACUCAAGAAUGGCUGCUAUGGAGAAAUACAGUUCAUCGUCAGGUUUAAAGAGAACUGUGUUUGCACAUCCAACUGUGUGUGCUCGGCUAUUUCAGUCAUUGUGGUCCAGCUGUUUUAUAUCAAACGUGAUGCAGAGGACAGCAGGAUGAUUCCUGACAGUGCAUCAAGGACUAUCUUUGUGGAAGUGGAAAGGACAACUCAGCUCAAAGCCUUCUUCUUGAGGGAUGUUAGGUGUAAAUGCAUGUAUGUGGAUGGUUGGCUGGUGACUUUACCAAACUCAUAUGAAAGAUAUUAAAGUUCCAGCACAGCUAAGGUGCUUUCUCUGUCUUGUAUAUCAUGGCACAUGGCUGUUUUUACUACAGUGAAAAUCUUGGAAAAAUGAAUGAUGAUGAAGUUUUUUCAAAGGAGUUUGGAGUCAUUUUGUUCAUAUGUGUGCGAGAUCUGUGGCUUACGUUUUCUUUUGGUGUGACAGUGUGGACAUAAUGUAGUCAGUGUAAUGUAGGAUUAUAUCACUCAGUACUGUAUGUGUAUUAUCUGUAUAUGGAGGAAAUUAUGGAGUGAUUUGUAAACAGCCAAAAGCUUGCCUUUCCCAACUUUGUAUUCACUACGUAUUUAUCAUACAUGUCAGUUUACCUCUAUUCAAACUGAAAUGCAAAUUAUUGUGACACAUAAACAUUUUGUGAAUUAACGCUAAAAAUCCGGGGUGAGUGGAUCAAUGUGGUUUACUGCAUCCUGAUACAGAUUGCUAUUACUGAGAUAACAGAUCAUAAAGCUUCAUAUUACCUCAUAUUAUUGUGUAAUGGCUGAUGAGACUUAUUCUGUUUAAAUCUGCAAUGUGUGCAAGUCUAUUGAAUAUAAUACAGAUUGAUUUGCUCAAGAAUGUUUGUAUCCUGCUACAUAAAAAUGAUUAUAAUUAAAGUCUUAUUACUUAAAUAUGCCUG
ensembl:lncRNA